CCCGUCUCCCUCUCCCGUCUCCCUCUCCCUCUCCCGUCUCCCUCUCCCUCUCCCGUCUCCCUCUCCCUCUCCCGUCUCCCUCUCCCUCUCAUGCCGAGCCAAAGCUGGACGGUACUGCUGCCAUCUCGGCUCACUGCAACCUCCCUGCCUGAUUCUCCUGCCUCAGCCUGCCGAGUGCCUGCGAUUGCAGGCGCGCGCCGCCACGCCUGACUGGUUUUCGUUUUUUUUUGGUGGAGAUGGGGUUUCGCUGUGUUGGCCGGGCUGGUCUCCAGCUCCUAACCGCGAGUGAUCCGCCAGCCUCGGCCUCCCGAGGUGCCGGGAUUGCAGAUGGAGUCUCGUUCACUCAGUGCUCAAUGGUGCCCAGGCUGGAGUGCAGUGGCGUGAUCUCGGCUCGCUACAACCACCUCCCAGCCGCCUGCCUUGGCCUCCCAAAGAGCCGAGAUUGCAGCCUCUGCCCGGCCGCCACCCCGUCUGGGAAGUGAGGAGCGUCUCUGCUUGGCCACCCAUCGUCUGGGAUGUGAGGAGCCCCUCUGCCUGGCUGCCCAGUGUGGAAAGUGAGGAGCGUCUCUGCCCGGCCGCCAUCCCAUCUAGGAAGCGAGAAGCGCCUCUUCCCCGCCGCCAUCCCAUCUAGGAAGUGAGGAGCGUCUCUGCCCGGCCGCCCAUCGUCUGAGAUGUGGGGAGCACCUCUGCCCCACCGCCCUGUCUGGGAUGUGAGGAGCGCCUCUGCUGGGCCGCAACCCUGUCUGGGAGGUGAGGAGUGUCUCUGCCCGGCCGCUCCGUCUGAGAAGUGAGGAAACCCUCUGCCUGGCAACCGCCCCGUCUGAGAAGUGAGGAGCCCCUCCGUCUGGCAACCACCCCGUCUGGGAAGUGAGGAGCGUCUCCGCCCGGCAGCCACCCCGUCCGGGAGGGAGGUGGGGGGGGUCAGCCCCCUGCCCGGCCAGCCGCCCCGUCCGGGAGGUGAGGGGCUCCUCUGCCCGGCCGCCCCUACUGGGAAGUGAGGAGCCCCUCUGCCCGGCCAGCCGCCCCGUCCGGGAGGGAGGCGGGGGGGGGGGGGGGGGGUCGGCCAGCCGCCCCGGCCGGGAGGUGAGGGGCGCCUCUGCCCGGCCGCCCCUACUGGGAAGUGAGGAGCCCCUCUGCCCGGCCAGCCGCCCCGCCCAGGAGGGAGGUGGGGGGGUCAGCCCCCCGCCUGGCCAGCCGCCCCAUCCGGGAGGGAGGUGGGGGGGUCAGCCCCCCGCCCGGCCAGCCGCCCCGUCCGGGAGGGGGGAGGGGGGGUCAGCCCCCUGCCCGGCCAGCCGCCCCGUCCGGGAGGGAGGUGGGGGGGUCAGCCCCCUGCCCGGCCAGCCGCCCCGUCCGGGAGGGAGGUGGGGGGAUCAGCCCCCUGCCUGGCCAGCCGCCCCGUCCGGGAGGUGAGGGGCGCCUCUGCCCGGCCGCCCCUACUGGGAAGUGAGGACCCCUCUGCCCAGCCAGCCGCCCCGUCCGGGAGGGAGGUGGGGGGGGUCAGCCCCCCGCCCGGCCAGCCGCCCCGUCCGGGAGGGAGGUGGGGGGAUCAGCCCCCUGCCUGGCCAGCCGCCCCGUCCGGGAGGUGAGGGGCGCCUCUGCCCGGCCGCCCCUACUGGGAAGUGAGGACCCCUCUGCCCGGCCAGCCGCCCCGUCCGGGAGGGAGGUGGGGGGAACAGCCCCCCGCCCGGCCAGCCGCCCUAUCCAGGAGGUGAGGGGCGCCUCUGCCCGGCCGCCCCUACUGGGAAGUGAGGAGCCCCUCUGCCUGGCCAGCCGCCCCGUCCGGGAGGGCGGUGGGGGGGUCAGCCCCCCGCCCGGCCAGCCGCCCCAUCUGGGAGGUGAGGGGCACUUCUGCCGGGCCGCCCCUACUGGGAAGUGAGGAGCCCCUCUGCCCGGCCACGACCCCGUCUGGGAGGUGUGCCCAGCGGCUCAUUGGGGAUGGGCCAUGAUGACAAUGGCGGUUUUGUGGAAUAGAAAGGCGGGAAGGGUGGGGAAAAAAUUGAGAAAUCGGAUGGUUGCUGGGUCUGUGUGGAUAGAAGUAGACAUGGGAGACUUUUCAUUUUGUUCUGUACUAAGAAAAAUUCUUCUGCCUUGGGAUCCUGUUGAUCUGUG
rnacentral:lncRNA from 1 species